AGAGUAUGAUCAUGGCUCAGAACGAACGCUGGCGGCGUGGAUAAGACAUGCAAGUCGAGCGCUGAUUACGGGGUAGCAAUAUUCCGUAGUCGGAGCGGCGCAAGGGUGCGUAACACGUGGGUAAUCUGCCAUGAAGUUUGGAAUAACUCGCUGAAAGGCGAGCUAAUGCCGGAUGUGAAAGCUGGGAGGCAUCUCUUGGUUUUCAAAGCUGGGGACCGUAAGGCCUGGCGCUUCAUGAUGAGCCCGCGGCCUAUCAGCUAGUUGGUAAGGUAACGGCUUACCAAGGCUAAGACGGGUAGCUGGUCUGAGAGGACGACCAGCCACACUGGAACUGAGACACGGUCCAGACACCUACGGGUGGCAGCAGUCGAGAAUUUUUCACAAUGGGCGCAAGCCUGAUGGAGCGACGCCGCGUGGGGGAUGAAUGGCUUCGGCCCGUAAACCCCUGUCAUUUGCGAUCAACCGUUAUUAUUUAAAAGAUGAUGACCUGAUAGUAGCGAAAGAGGAAGGGACGGCUAACUCUGUGCCAGCAGCCGCGGUAAUACAGAGGUCCCAAGCGUUGUUCGGAUUCACUGGGCGUAAAGGGUGCGUAGGUGGCGGAGUAAGUCGGAUGUGAAAUCUCCGAGCUCAACUCGGAAACUGCAUUGGAAACUACUUUGCUCGAGGAUUGGAAGGGGGACUGGAAUACUUGGUGUAGCAGUGAGACGCGUAGAUAUCAAGUGGAACACCAGUGGCGAAGGCGAGUCCCUGGACAAUUCCUGACACUGAGGCACGAAAGCUAGGGGAGCAAACAGGAUUAGAUACCCUGGUAG
rnacentral:rRNA from 1 species